UAGGGAAUCUUCCACAAUGGACGCAAGUCUGAUGGAGCAACGCCGCGUGAGUGAAGAAGGCUUUCGGGUCGUAAAACUCUGUUAUUGAAGAAGAACGUGUGUGACAGUAACUGGUCAUGCAGUGACGGUAUUCAAUCAGAAAGUCACGGCUAACUACGUGCCAGCAGCCGCGGUAAUACGUAGGUGGCAAGCGUUGUCCGGAUUUAUUGGGCGUAAAGCGGGUGCAGGCGGUCUUUUAAGUCUGAUGUGAAAGCCUUCGGCUUAACCGA
rnacentral:rRNA from 1 species